rnacentral:rRNA from 1 species
GACGAACGCUGGCGGCGUGCUUAACACAUGCAAGUCGAACGGAAAGGCCCUGCUUUUGUGGGGUGCUCGAGUGGCGAACGGGUGAGUAACACGUGAGUAACCUGCCCUUGACUUUGGGAUAACUUCAUGAAACUGGGGCUAAUACCGGAUAGGAGCUCCUGCUGCAUGGUGGGGGUUGGAAAGUUUCGGCGGUUGGGGGGGGACUCGCGGCUUAUCAGCUUGUUGGUUGGGUAGUGGCUUACCAAGGCUUUGACGGGUGGCCGGGCUGAGAGGGUGACCGGCCACAUUGGGAUUGAGAUACGGCACAGACUCCUACGGGAGGCAGCAGUGGGGAAUAUUGCACAAUGGGCGGAGGCCUGAUGCAGCACCGCCGCGUGCGGGAUGACGGCCUUCGGGUUGUAAACCGCUUUCGCCUGUGACGAAGCGUGAGUGACGGUAAUGGGUAAAGAAGCACCGGCUAACUACGUG